AGAGAGAGUUUUAAGAUUGAUAGGUCGGGAGCGCUGGAACAUCUGUAAAACACUCUAGAAGAUUCUAUUGAAAAUGUCGAAAUCGUUUAAUUUCGGGACUGGACGUAGGCCGUUAGAUAGACGGCUGAACCAGUAGAAAAUCGCGGUGCACUACUCUAUAUCCCUUACUCUUUAUUUCCAUCUUGCUUUGUAUCAUUGUAUGAUUGUAUGAUUAAUCUUGAUUGCAUGCUAUAGACGUAUUCUGUUUUCGUUGAUAUCGCUUGAAUGGUUAAAUUGGCAUGCUUGUAUCUUGAUUAAUUUGUAGAACUACUGUAUAUGCUGGACUAGUAAUUAGUCAAUACAUGUAAGUGUGAACCUUCGCUUAGAAACAAUUCCUUGGGACCGUGAUUGAUCAUUAGUUUAAUAAAAGUGUUCUUUUGUUAAAUUGAUUAUCAAUCUUGUUGCAUUUUUUAAAAACUGUCAUAUACCUUUUUAGACAAUAGAGGUCAUUAUUUUACAACAAUUUUUGAAUUUGUUAGUGAAAUUAUUGAUAGUGAAUUUGUGAAUAAAUAAGUAGGACCUCUGUUUAUAUUGGAUAGAUUGGAAUAACAAUAAGAGCAAACCAAGUCUAGCUGUCACAGGGUAUUAAUUCAGUUCUGAUAUAUGUAUUGUAUAGUUGAGUUUCAGUUUGGUGUAUUUGUGGUUGGGUGAUCUAGUUCUUGGUCUAAGAUUCUAAAUGGCCUUAUUAGAAAGAAAAAAAAACUUAUUGUAAUGUUCUAUUGUUAGAGUACUGCUUGUACUGCAUAUAUUAUAAAGAACCUUAUAUACCUUUUGCUAUUUAAAAAAAAGAAGACUAAUUCUUCUUUCUUUGUAUUUGGUUUUAAACUUCAUGAAAUUCUCUAGCACUUUAUGUGUCUUUGCUUCAAUUUUUGAUUUAUGCUUCUUAGAUGUCAAGGAUUAAAAAGCAGUCAACAUUUUUGCAAGAUUGGAGCAAGAUUAUUGAGAGAAAAGUGAAGUAGUUUGCGGUGGACACUUACUGGAUUUGUUGUUUAAAGCAUUGCAUUUGCUAUCAUUCCUCUUUUGUUGACGAUGAAGGCGAUGAAUUUGAAGAGGAUGACAUAGAUGACAAAUUUGAAGAGGACAACAUAGAUGCUAAAUAUGAAGAACACACACUUGAAUGAUUUAGAUGAUGAUUUUAGAUUAUGCUUUUUUGGAUGAUGUUUUUUUUAUUAGGCAUGUACUUGAUUGAAGCAUCAAAACUUCAACAAACUAUAUAUUUUGCUAGACUUAGUACUUUAAGUAUUAAACUUUAUUUGAAUACUACCAUUUAUUUGUUUACUAUGUAUGUUACUAAUCUUAGACAAUUUGUUUAUUACCAUUUAUUUGAAUACAACUUUGUUAA